GGCCUCAGGGUGCAUUUUGCUGUCUGUGUUCUUACAAUGACUGUAUGGAAAAAAAGAGGCAGACAAUAUGUGCUCCAGCCUGGGAUCUGUGCCUGGUCUGUAAUGUGAAUGGAGACACAAGG
rnacentral:snoRNA from 1 species